rnacentral:rRNA from 1 species
GGAUGAACGCUGGCGGCGUGCCUAAUACAUGCAAGUCGAGCGAAUGGAUUAAGAGCUUGCUCUUAUGAAGUUAGCGGCGGACGGGUGAGUAACACGUGGGUAACCUGCCCAUAAGACUGGGAUAACUCCGGGAAACCGGGGCUAAUACCGGAUAACAUUUUGCACCGCAUGGUGCGAAAUUCAAAGGCGGCUUCGGCUGUCACUUAUGGAUGGACCCGCGUCGCAUUAGCUAGUUGGUGAGGUAACGGCUCACCAAGGCAACGAUGCGUAGCCGACCUGAGAGGGUGAUCGGCCACACUGGGACUGAGACACGGCCCAGACUCCUACGGGAGGCAGCAGUAGGGAAUCUUCCGCAAUGGACGAAAGUCUGACGGAGCAACGCCGCGUGAGUGAUGAAGGCUUUCGGGUCGUAAAACUCUGUUGUUAGG